UGAGGAACCCGAAAGAUCGAAUGGGGAGAUUCAGCGUCAGCGGCGCUGGCUCGGCCGAGUGAGCGAUGUUGCCGACUACGGUUGGCGACACGUUAUCACUCAUGCCUUGUCCGGUGUCGUCGUCGUGCACUUCUCCUCUAGUAGAACGUCGCGACCCGUUGGGUGCCGGUCCUACGGUCCGAGCGGUAGACUGUCGCGUCGCUUCGGCGCACGCGUCAGACCCUCGGUCGCCCGGCCGGCUGCCCGGCGGUCGAACUUAUAAGGUAUCUUGCCGCAAUUAUCGAACUGCGUCGGGCCCGCCGCAAGCGCGGUCAGUGUCUCGGAGGUACGGACCCGGUGCCGUCCCCGAGCCUGACCAGCUGUUGGCAGGCGGAGUCCUCUGACGGGCAAUACACAAUAAUACCGGUCUGCGACGCUACUGCUUUGGGUACUCUCAGGACCCGUCUUGAAACACGGACCAAGGAGUCUAACAUGUGCGCGAGUCAUUGGGACUGCAAAGCCUAAAGGCGUAAUGAAAGUGAAGGUCGACCUCGCGUCGACCGAGGGAGGAUGGGCCGCGUUAAGACGCGGCUCCGCACUCCCGGGGCGUCUCGUUCUCAUUGCGAGAAGAGGCGCACCCAGAGCGUACACGUUGGGACCCGAAAGAUGGUGAACUAUGCCUGGUCAGGACGAAGUCAGGGGAAACCCUGAUGGAGGUCCGUAGCGAUUCUGACGUGCAAAUCGAUCGUCGGAACUGGGUAUAGG
rnacentral:rRNA from 3 species